rnacentral:rRNA from 1 species
GCGCACCAGGCGAGAAACUUUACAAUGUGCGAAAGCACGAUAAGGGAACUCUGAGUGCCUCCUAAGGAGGCUGUUCAGGUGUCUAAAAAGCACCUGGAGUAAGGGCUGGGUAAGACCGGUGCCAGCCGCCGCGGUAACACCGGCAGCCCAGGUGGUAGCCACUUUUAUUGGGUCUAAAGCGUCCGUAGCCGGUUGAGUAAGUUCCUUGGGAAAUUUGGCUGCUCAACAGUCAAGCUUCCAGGGAAUACUGCUCGACUUGGGACUGGGAGAGGUCAGAGGUACUCCAGGGGUAGGGGUGAAAUCCAUUAAUCCCUGGGGGACCACCGGUAGCGAAGGCGUCUGACCAGACCAGGUCCGACGGUGAGGGACGAAGGCUAGGGUCGCGAACCGGAUUAGAUA